CAAAAAUAGUCAGUUACACAUUGGUCAGUUUAUUCAAUAGAUAGAUGGAGGGCUUUGCAACACAUGUAUCAACGUGGCUCCAGUGUGUGAAAUAUAGGACAAUCGAUCAUGGCUGCUGCAUGGCCAUGUUUGAGACAAAAUUCAAGUUGUUCCGCUCAUCAGCCAUCCAUUUCUCUUAUACAUCUAGCCCACAUAAUGAGAACACUGGCUUGCUUUUUGGCCGUGUAGAAAUGGGACCUGCCUGAUGAGUGGCUUGGGCCUUGCUCUCACUCCACUCAAUAGUUCCUAGUUAAGAAGUUGAAGAAAAUUUUCUGUUGGAUGAAUACAUGGCUCAAAAUUAACACUGCAUUUGGCCGGGAGUUGCAUGGCCAUAUUGCGGUCAACGCCAGAUAUGGGUGGGCCAUUCACAAGCACACAGAGGCAAGGUUGCCCGAGCAUUCUCAGUGCAUUGCAGCAGGGCUCGCUAGGCGGUAUGGGGAUGAAUGGAGCAACUGACGGCCUGCAUGGUAUCAUCUGAACAAGGGCACCGAAGAAGGUCCUGGGGCACCCCUGACCCACCCCGUGCUGCACCAUGCUAGCCAUAAAAACCAGGACGACCAGCCAAAUUGCAGCUUUCAUAGCACCACCCUUCAUGGCUGAAUUGAAGUUCCUUUACUAUCAGUUAUGCUGUAAUUAAGCUGGGUAGCAUGUAGGAAAUGUAUAUAUAGGAGAAACCUCAUACUUCUAUGCAUUUCUUUCCUAACUCUCUUAACCAAAUCAUGCAGAUUUGAUGCUAUCACUGUUUUUGAGCUGAUUUGUCCAUAGAGAAUAUGCAAGGAAUGUGUUGCGCUUCAUACUUUAAACCGUUAUUCAAUUCGAAUAUCAUGAAUUGCACCA